GACGAACGCUGGCGGCGUGCCUAAUACAUGCAAGUUGAGCGAUGAAAAUUGGUGCUUGCACCAAUUUGAAGAGCAGCGAACGGGUGAGUAACGCGUGGGGAAUCUGCCUUUGAGCGGGGGACAACAUUUGGAAACGAAUGCUAAUACCGCAUAACAACUUUAAACAUAAGUUUUAAGUUUGAAAGAUGCAAUUGCAUCACUCAAAGAUGAUCCCGCGUUGUAUUAGCUAGUUGGUGAGGUAAAGGCUCACCAAGGCGAUGAUACAUAGCCGACCUGAGAGGGUGAUCGGCCACAUUGGGACUGAGACACGGCCCAAACUCCUACGGGAGGCAGCAGUAGGGAAUCUUCGGCAAUGGACGAAAGUCUGACCGAGCAACGCCGCGUGAGUGAAGAAGGUUUUCGGAUCGUAAAACUCUGUUGGUAGAGAAGAACGUUGGUGAGAGUGGAAAGCUCAUCAAGUGACGGUAACUACCCAGAAAGGGACGGCUAACUACGU
rnacentral:rRNA from 1 species